rnacentral:sRNA from 1 species
GGCAAAACUAGUCGGUCCAAAAACGGCAACGUCUCAAAAGUCUGUGAAAGAUGUUCAUUGCCCUGUUUCCCAGUAAGACUUUAUAAAGGCGGCGAAUUUUGAAAUUGUAUGAAUUUAUUUCAGAGCUCCUCCAACAUCGAUGCCAAUUGAAAGCACAACUGGAAAAGCUCCUGAUGACACGUUGGCGUAAGUAUUGGAGAUGUCGAAAAGUUUAUUUUAUAAAAAUCUGAAAUUGUGUAUAAUAUUUCAGAAACGUUGUCUCGAUUCAACCGGACUUUUCGACUGGAGCUCCACCAAUUCCCGCACAGUAAUACCUGAAUAAAUAUUUAUGAAUUUGUAUUUAUUUUAUGUAGUUUUGUUAAGUUGGCUGUUACGUUUUAAAAGUACUCGCAGUUCAGUUCUGUCCUACGCCUGACUCGUGCCUACUGCAUCAUUUUUCAAAAACUUUCUCAGUUACUCUUUAAAGUAGUUAUUUUCAAUGAAGAGCUCGCGCUCAGUGUCUACACGCUGGGACGGCCCGCACACCUCAAGAUGUACCUACCUACCAAGAAAGACUAACUUGAAAAUAAAUCACAGAUUACGGUUGAUUUCCUGAUUCUUCUUUUUACAAAUGAAACAAUUAACGUGACCCUACUUUCCCUAAGAAAUAAAACAUUCAAAAACAAAAUCAAUCAAUAUUAGAUCUCAUUUUCACUAGAACCAUCAUCAUUAUUUUCAUCUUGCUCAUAUGUAUAACAAUGCACAGUUUUUGGUUUAUUUUGGAUUGUGUGAGUUCAAUUUUAGGUUACAGUAUUCGCGGCGAGACCCAACUUACCUUUUCCAGGGUUUUGAUGGCACAUUAUGCGCCUUUAACUCGCGGGUACUAUAGCUUUUACGCUCUUUAUUUUUUACCUUUUCUGCAACUGAGAAGGGUAUGCGCCUUCAAGGGAUACUGUAAUUUUUCACACACUGGGUUUUGUUUUUUUUUGUUGAAUUAUUUUCUUUAGAAAAAAAACGAAAAAAUGAAUACCGUACUCCUUUAAAGGUGCACGCCUCUUUCGCAACUUUCAAAAAAUUUUGGUCGCGUCGAGACCUAGUCUUGCAGUUGAAAAGUUUAAAAAGUAAAAUAACAGUAAAAACAGCUCAAAAAUUCGCAAAAUUCUUCCUCCUCCAAAACUGAAAUGUUUUCAGAUUUUUCUAUUUUCCCUCGCGACUUGCCUCGUCCAAUGUGAAAAAUCCGAAAGAAAGAAGUUCCGAAGUGAUAAGAAA